rnacentral:rRNA from 1 species
UACAGAGGUCUCAAGCGUUGUUCGGAUUCAUUGGGCGUAAAGGGUGCGUAGGCGGCGCGGUAAGUCGGGUGUGAAAUCUCGGGGCUUAACUCCGAAACUGCAUUCGAUACUGCCGGUGCUUGAGGACUGGAGAGGAGACUGGAAAUUUACGGUGUAGCGGUGAAAUGCGUAGAUAUCGUAAGGAAGACCAGUGGCGAAGGCGGGUCUCUGGACAGUUCCUGACGCUGGAGGCACGAAAGCGUGGGGAGCAAACAGG